GUGAUGCUUGUGUGUAUUUCAGGGGGACCCAGAUGUGAAGGAGGAGUGUGGGCCCAGAGGAAUGAAUGUGAGGGCAGCAGAUUAUGGCCGGGGCAGAUUGUAGUCUGUUGAAACAAAUGGACAAAAAAGGUCCAGCUGUGUGUACGGCACCUGUUGUCUCUGGGGAAGGACCUACUCCAUUGGCUUCCUCCGCUUCUGCAAACAGGCCACCCUCCAGUUCUGUGUGGUCAAGCCCCUGAU